rnacentral:rRNA from 1 species
GCAGCCGCGGUAAUACGGAGGAUGCGAGCGUUAUCCGGAUUUAUUGGGUUUAAAGGGUGCGCAGGCGGCCCGACAAGCCGGCGGUCAAAUCGCGGGGCUCAACCCCGUCCAGCCGUCGGAACUGCCGGGCUAGAGUGGGCGAGAAGUGCGCGGAAUGCGUGGUGUAGCGGUGAAAUGCAUAGAUAUCACGCAGAACUCCGAUUGCGAAGGCAGCGCACCGGCGCCCUACUGACGCUCAGGCACGAAAGCGUGGGUAUCGAACAGGAUUAGAUACCCC